GUGAAUCAUCGAAUUUUUGAACGCAAAUUGCGCCUUUUUCGGAAGGCAUGUCUGUUUGAGGGCACCAUUUAACAAAUAAUGUGCAUCGUUGUUUGUUGCACACGUUGAUGAGCUUUCCAAGAAUUUUAAAUUUUUGUGGUCUCAUAAUGAACAACGUUAAAUUUUUUUUCAUUUCGAUUUUAGUAAAGUCUUUGCUUGGAUUGUUAAGAAACAUAAUCUCACUAGGGGUGUGUAAAUUUCUUUUUAUCCCUGCCCCAAUUCCACUCUUUCUCCCGAAAG
rnacentral:misc_RNA from 1 species